UACGAAGGGGGCUAGCGUUGCUCGGAAUCACUGGGCGUAAAGGGUGCGUAGGCGGGUCUUUAAGUCAGGGGUGAAAUCCUGGAGCUCAACUCCAGAACUGCCUUUGAUACUGAGGAUCUUGAGUACGGGAGAGGUGAGUGGAACUGCGAGUGUAGAGGUGAAAUUCGCAGAUAUUCGCAAGAACACCAGUGGCGAAGGCGGCUCACUGGCCCGUAACUGACGCUGAGGCACGAAAGCGUGGGGAGCAAACAGG
rnacentral:rRNA from 1 species